GCUUACGGCCAUACCAGCCUGAAUGCGCCCGAUCUCGUCUGAUCUCGAAAGCUAGGCAGGGUCGGGCCUGGUUAGUACUUGGAUGGGAGACCGCCUGGGAAUCCAGGUGCUGUAAGCU
rnacentral:rRNA from 1 species